rnacentral:misc_RNA from 1 species
GAUGAAGAACGCAGCGAAUUGCGAUAUGUAAUGUGAAUUGCAGAAUUCAGUGAAUCAUCGAAUCUUUGAACGCAUCUUGCACCCUCUGGUAUUCCAGAGGGUAUGCCUGUUUGAGUGUCAUUAAUGACUCAAGCCAGAAAAGGUUUUUUGCUAGCUGGCUUUUUAACCUCUUCUGUGUUUUGGAUGUUGAAGGUUUUGCUGGCUUUUCAAUUUGCCCAGCUCCUUUGAAAUGGAUUAGUGGGGAUCGCUGCCACUACUAGCUUUUAGGUUGAUAAAUGGAUUUUAUCUGAACUGCUGCUGGCAAUAAUGGCAGCUUGAGCUCUGCUGCAUAACUGUCCUUUUAUAUGGACUUGCCUUUCUCAGGCAAAGCUUUUUAAAUCUUGACCUCAAAUCAGGUAGGACUACCCGCUGAACUUAAGCAUAUCAAUAAGCGGAGGA